rnacentral:lncRNA from 1 species
GCCGUGGAGACGGCGCCGCCCCGGCGCGGAGCCCGGCCCCGCUCAGGAGCGUUCCGCCAGCCGUGAGGGCCGGCAGACCCGGCUCUCCCCCUUUCCUUUCUUGUUUGUCUACAAAAUAGCUUAAUUCAACACCAACCUUAAUUCAACUUCCUCUCCUCCUGUCUGUGCACCAGAAAAACUGAGGCUUGCCCAGCAGGCCGAGGCAGGGGCUGCCACCGCUGCCUUUGCCAAGGCCACCUCAGUGAUACAACACCAAAACUAACUAGGAAAGGCCAGAGUUAUCAAUUAUGAACUUCUAGCGAAUCAGGGCUGCUAGCUUCUUGCUUCCCAGGAUGUAGAGCCAUUUGGGAGCAGCAAAGCCGUGCUUUCAAACUCUUCCCUGUCCUAAUUAAAGGAAAGACCAUUGUUACUUCAGGCAUUGAACUUGGUUUUUUAAAAUGCUGAGGAUUUUAUCAUCUCACAGAAGACAUUUGGAUGGUGGAAAAUGUAUUUUUCUGCUGUAAAAUGAAGUCUGUUUGCUUAAUGGCACAACACUUCAUUGAUCAUUCAGUAACAGACAGUGGUCCAUUCUACUGGCAUUUUUACCUAGCUGCAGGAUGGCACAGCCUUCAAGAGAUUCAGCAUCUUUUAGAGUCUCAUCAUGGCACAAGUAAGAUCGAAUAAAAAUAUUGCUGAAAAUUGAAUAAAAAACAUAGGAAAGUGAUCCUUUCCUUUCCU